ensembl:lncRNA PCBP1-AS1 PCBP1 antisense RNA 1
CCUCGUUUGUUCAGGGGCUGCCGGCCAGGGCUUCAGGACGUUUCUGCGGCUUUCCCCGCGCGGCCUGGGCUCCCGCGGCUGCUUUUCGGGCCCAUGGGCGCAGCCACUGCGCCAGGCUCAAGGGGGGCGGCCCCGUCAGGGCCCGCCAUCUUGGAAGGCCUUUUUUGCCGGUUCUUCCCGCUGAGGAAGUGUCGCUCAAGACGCUGGCCUAUGAGUUGUGAUUUCUGCCUUUUCCCCUUCCUCCUUGGGCUAAGCCAGACCAGAAAGGGCCCCGUGCGCAACGUGCUUCACAAUCUCUCAGGGAAAGCGGCUAACGUGGCGCUACUCCGCCUCCCCUGUUCCUUACCCUUGGGGCGGCCGCCAUGUUUCCUGAACACAAAAUGGCGACACGUGGUUAGCAUUCGUCGCCAACGAGAAAUUGGGGUCGGCCCGAAAGCUCUAGAAUGCACCCCUCUUCCUCCCCGGGGCCUUCCACCUCCGCGAGUUUUAUGACUUAAAAAAGCCCACAGGCUGGUCUGAAGGUCGGAGGCCUAAUUUUAACGCGUUUUCCUCCCUUUAAUUUGAAACGGGAACGCGAAUGACUGUAAAAUGUGGGCACAAUAUUUAAUCUCUCGCCUUUUUAAAGCUUAAUAGUGGAUAAUAGGGGGGCAGUAUCAAGGGAUAAUUUGGGUCCCCACAGUACCAAAGCAUUUAGAAACCUCUGUUUAAUUUAAGGAAUGAGAUAAGUUACUGCUUUUCUAGACUUCCUAGCAUGGGCUGUUGUGCUGGAGAGAACGAGAGCUACGAAGAGACUACAGUGCCUCUGACUUUUUCAUAGGACAGUUGGCCGAGGAAGACAAACAUAAAGAUGAAGUGCUUAAUUCAAGGUCACACAAUGUCGGGGAUGGACCUCCAGAUUUCCUUACUGACCUGCAUUAUCUUGUGGAUACCUGAGUGAAUUCCACACCACCCAUUUUAUAGAUGAAACCACUGAGACAUGGAGCAAUUGACUGAGUAGUCACUGCCCCACCCCUGCCUGGAGCCUCACACAUGACUCGCCUCCUCUCAGUGACCACAGGAAAACAAGCUCAGGGCUCCCACUGAUUGUACAUUAUGAGACGGAGUCUUGCUAUGUUGCCCAGGCUGGUCUUGAACUCCUCACCUCAAGCGAUCCUCCCGUCUUGGCCUCCCAAGUGUCAGGAUUACGGGCAUGUGCUAUCACACCCAACCUGAUACAUUGCCUUUAUAAAUUUUUUUUUCUUUAUUCUAAAAACCAGAAAAAACAAAACUGGAUACAUGUGCAGAACAUGCAGGUGAGACGUGGUCUUGUAACACAGUGGUUAAGAAUGUGACUUUGGAGCCAGCCUGCUAGGGGCUGAAUUCUGACUCAGCCAUUUACUAACUGUGUGACCUUAGUCUCACUGUUGCUCAGGCUGGAGUGCAAUGGCAUGAUCUCGGCUCAUCACAACCUCUGCUUCCUGGGUUCAAGCGAUUCUCCUGCCUCAGCCUCCCGAGUACCUGGGACUACAGGCACUCGCCACCAUGCCCGGCUGAUUUUUGUAUUUUUAAUAGAGAUGGUUUCACUAUGUUGGCCAGGCUGGUCUCGAACUCCUGACCUUGUGAUCUGCCCACCUCAGCCUCGAAAAGUGCUGGGAUUACAGGCGUGAGCCACUGCGCCCAGCCUUGUAUUUUUUUUCAGUUUGGGUAGCUGUCCCUAAUUCAUUUGUUAAAGGAGAAGCAAGAGCAAGAACCUUUAAUCUGUUCUCCUCUUCCCUAAUUUGAAAGUAGCUUGUUAUUUUGAAUAUCACUUUCUCUGAAAUAGCACAUCUCCAUCUCAGAGAAUGGAUUUAAUGUUUGGAUACAGCCAAAAGUCAUUUCAUUACCAAACCAUGGGGUGAAUAUACCAUGUAAAGCAGUUUGGGAUCAGAACUCACAGUCUGAAUUGUAAGUGAUGAGACUGCUGUCUCUCUGCUACAGCUUCUUGGCUGGCUCUGAAGGCUCUUUGAAGGCAGAUCCUAACAAGGGGACUGCUUUGAAGGGCCAUUGUUCAUUUGGAAUGAUAAAGUCUAUGUUGUUCAAAAAACAAAUGCUUGUAGCAGGUAUUUUUUCACUCCAGACUGAGAAUAUUGGUGGGAUAUUGAUAAGGGGUACUGAAUGGUAAUAAACAUGUGCUCUAGCUCUGUGCUAGUCAGCUUAUUUCAGAACUCUAGUUUGAUUCAGUUUCUUGCCUCUGACUCAAAAUGGAGGGAGAGUGAUUUUUACAUAAGAGAACACACCCACAUAUCCUUUUGGCAGCAGCUACCUGCCAGAGAUGUUGAAGAAGAGUAGCCAACCUUUACACAGCAGAUAUUGUGUGCCAGUCAUAGUCCUAAGUAUAAUACCUUACAUGUAUAAACUUCUUAUAAGGUUGGUGCUCUGUACCGAAUUGAAUAGUAUCCCCCAAAAUUCAUGUUGUCCCAGAACCUAUGAAAG